UCCGAAUGCCGCGUAAUCGAUUAUCGGGAGUCAGACUGCACGAGAUAAGUUGGGCGGUCAAAAGGGAAAGAGCCCAGACCUUCAGUUAAGGUCCCCAAGUGCGCGUUAAGUGGAAAAGGAUGUGGGAUUUCGAAGACAACCAGGAUGUUGGCUCAGAAGCAGCCAUCCAUUCAAAGAGUGCGUAAUAGCUCACUGGUCGAGAGGUCCUGCGCCGAAAAUGUCCGGGGCUGAAACGCGCCACCGAAACUAAGGAACCGAAAGGUUGGUAGAGGAGCAUUGCAUGCGGGAAGAAGCAGUACCGUAAGGAGCUGUGGACUGCAUGGAAGAGAGAAUGCCGGAAUGAGUAGCGAGAAUAAGGUGGGAAUCCUUAUGGCCGAAUAUCCAAGGUUUCCAGAGUAAAGCUGAUCUGCUCUGGGUAAGUCGGGGCCUAAGGCGAGGACGAGAGUCGUAGCCGAUGGACAACAGGUGGAGAUUCCUGUACUGCGGUAUGACAGAACUGUGGGGACACGUAAGGAAAGCGGAAGCCGGGAAUGGAAAGCCCGGUGCAAGCGGGGUACCAGUCACUUUGGCAAAUCCGGGUGGCAAUGGGAAGCCGUGAUGCGGAGCGAAAUAAAGUAGCGAAGUCCGUGAGCCAUGCGUCAAGAAAAGCCGCUAUCGUUUAUACCGUACCCGUACCGUAAACCGACACAGGUGGAUGAGGAGAGAAUCCUAAGGCCGGCGGAAGAAGCAUUGUCAAGGAACUCGGCAAAAUGGCCCCGUAACUUAGGGAUAAGGGGUGCCUGGGAAACCAGGCCGCAGAGAAUAGGCUCAAGCAACUGUUUAGCAAAAACACAGGUCUAUGCGAAACCGAAAGGUGAGGUAUAUGGGCUGACGCCUGCCCGGUGCUGGAAGGUUAAGAGGAGAGGUUAGCGCAAGCGAAGCUUUGAAUUUAAGCCCCAGUAAACGGCGGCCGUAACUAUAACGGUCCUAAGGUAGCGAAAUUCCUUGUCGGGUAAGUUCCGACCCGCACGAAAGGCGUAAUGAUUUGAGCGCUGUCUCGACAAUGCAUCCGGUGAAAUUGAAGUACCAGUGAAGAUGCUGGUUACCUGCGCCAGGACGGAAAGACCCCAUGGAGCUUUACUCCAGUCUGGUACUGGGACUCGGUAUUGCAUGUACAGGAUAGGUGGGAGGCUAGGAGAUGGUAACGCCAGUUGCCAUGGAGCCGCUGUUGGGAUACCACCCUUGCAGUAUUGGGUUUCUAACCAGCCGCCGUGACCCGGCGGUGGGACAAUGCCAGACGGGGAGUUUGACUGGGGCGGUCGCCUCCGAAAGGGUAUCGGAGGCGCUCAAAGGUUCCCUCAGAAUGGACGGAAACCAUUCGAAGAGUGCAAAGGCAGAAGGGAGCUUGACUGCGACACCGACGG
rnacentral:rRNA from 1 species